UAAUUUGAAGUAGAUGUUCUUGUGAUGAUGACUUCCAGAUUUUGGGGAUAAUAAUAGUUAUUGAGUUUUUAGAAGUUAUUCAAUUGGUUUUUAUUAAUGAGUUUAAGUCUUCCGCAUUACUUUCUGUUGAUAUUAUAUUGAAAUGUUAAGGUUUAGAUUGAUUGGUUCGCUCACAUAGGAGGGUAAGUGUGGGUGCCAGUCGCG
rnacentral:lncRNA from 1 species